ensembl:misc_RNA Y_RNA Y RNA
GGUUGGUCUGAGUACAAUGGUGUUUACAAGUAAUUGAUCACUACCAGUUACAGAUUUCUUUGUUCCUCUUCCACUCCCACAAUUUCACUUCACUAGCCUAAA